UACGAGGGGGGCGAGCGUUGUUCGGAAUUAUUGGGCGUAAAGGGCGUGUAGGCGGACCGGCGCGUCCCGUGUGAAAGCCCCCUGGCUCAACUGGGGGAGGUCAUGGGAAACGGUCGGACUGGAGCCCGGUAGGGGGCCAUGGAAUCCCGGUGUAGUGGUGGAAUGCGUAGAGAUCGGGAGGAACACCUGUGGCGAAGGCGGUGGCCUGGACCGGUGCUGACGCUGAGGCGCGAAGGCGUGGGGAGCGAUCCGG
rnacentral:rRNA from 1 species